rnacentral:lncRNA from 1 species
UCCAAGGUCAUCAGUUCAAAUCCCUACACCCCCAUUUAUUUUGGCGAUUUUGUUCCCUUUUUUNUUUUAAUAAUAAACGUUUUUUGGAUUUUCUUUCUUGUUUUGUUUCCUUUUUUUAACGUUUUUUUUUAUUUCAUUUCUUGUUUUGUUUCCUUUUUCAACGUUUUUUUUCCCUUUUCAUUUUUCUUUACUUUUUGCAUUUUUUAUAUAUUUUUUUUUUUUUCUUUUCAGUAUUUUCUGUUUUUUUCUUUUUAUUGUUUUUAUUUAGCUUAUUUUUAAAAAAAAAUUAUGAUAAUUGUUACUUUUAUUUAUUAGAACCUGUACUUUUAAUUAUUUGGUUAAGUAAUUAUUAUAGUAAGAAAAAAAAUUGAUUGUUAUAAAGAAAAAUAACUAUUAUUAUGAAGAAAUGUAAUGUUUUUGAAUUAUUAC